rnacentral:rRNA from 1 species
GUGUAAUGAACUUACCGGAUUGUUCGAGAGGUAGUGUAUGGCCGCCGUCAGUUCGUACCGUAAGGCGUUCUGUUAAGUCAGAUAACGAACGAGACCCUCAUCUCUAUUUGCCACCAGAUCUCCGGAUCUGACGGGACUAUAGGGAGACCGCUGGCGCUAAGUCAGAGGAAGGGGAGGGCAACGGUAGGUCAGUAUGCUCCGAAUGCUAUGGGCUACACGCGCAAUACAAAGGACGGGACAAUGGGAAGCCAGAUCGAGAGAUCGAGCUAACCCGAAACCCGUUCAUAGUUCGGAUUGUGGGCUGUAACUCGCCCACAUGAAGCUGGAUUGCGUAGUAAUCGUGUUUCAACAUAGCACGGUGAAUAUGCCCCUGCUCCUUGCACACACCGCCCGUCGUUUCAUUGAAGUGAGCUUUUAGCGAGGUGACGUCUGAUUGGCGUUAUCGAACUUGAGGUUCGUGACAAGGGAAAAGUCGUAACAAGGUGACCGUAGGGGAACCUGCGGUCG